rnacentral:rRNA from 1 species
GACGAACGCUGGCGGCAUGCCUAAUACAUGCAAGUCGGACGGAUAUGUUUAAAUGACAUAUCAGUGGCGAACGGGUGAGUAACACGUAAGUGACCUACCUGUACGACGAGGAUAACCACUGGAAACGGUAGCUAAUACUGGAUAGGAUAUAUACCAUAAGGGUAUAUAUUUAAAGGUCCUAAGGGACCGCGUACAGAAGGGCUUGCGGCGCAUUAGCUAGUUGGUGGGGUAAAGGCCUACCAAGGCGACGAUGCGUAGCCGACCUGAGAGGGUGACCGGCCACACUGGGACUGAGAGACGGCCCAGACUCCUACGGGAGGCAGCAGUAGGGAAUCUUCGGCAAUGGACGGAAGUCUGACCGAGCGAUGCCGCGUGAGCGAAGAAGGUCUUCGGAUUGUAAAGCUCUGUGAUUAGGGAAGAAGGCUAUUAGGAGGGAAUGCCUAAUAGGUGACGGUACCUAAUUAGAAAGCCACGGCUAACUACGUG